UUGGAGACAUGCAGACAGCGUGUACUCUUUGAAUUCCAAAACUAGAAGAGAAGGGAGUAAAGUCAGUCAUUCCCAGUGACCCGUAUACUUGUUGACAACAAUCUGUCACCACCUGGCCUGGAAACAUAAAUAGAACAAAUAUUACAGGUUGGAUGUUUACAUUGAGCAAUACUGCAGAAGGAGGCCGGCGAUGUCAGUGCAGCACUUUUAUAACAAGCGACUGUUUUUUGGAACACCGCCUGCUACGGUUUGAAAGAUGAACAUCCGUCAUGGGAUACAUUGUCUCUGCUUGCCUCUUUCUGCUGUGUGACAAACUUGGCACCCCGUCUCUUUUAAUAAUGAGUGCUGACUAACUGAGAUGGCAUUGUGUUACACAUGAUGUCAUGGCGCUUGAUGGUUGAGAUGAGAGUGGACAUGCUCAGAAGAAACACGUGAAACAGGACUCCCAGGACGAAGCGCCACAGGUGUGUGUGGACGUCAGCUGAGAAGCAUGCAGUCUCAUUAGGUCAAAUAGCCUCAGACUGUGGUGCAAAAAACACCCAAGGGCUGAAUCUGUUCCUCCGCAUUUCAAAGUAGAGUUUCCUUUUUUUUUUCUUUUCAGUUUUCGCA